ensembl:processed_transcript zgc:162952 zgc:162952
CGCUUUAAACCCUGUCGAGCAGCUGAAGGAGGGUGUUUCAGUGAGUGUUUGAGGACAGUCAGCUUGAGUGACUGACGGUAAAUGGAGUCCAUCCAAGAAGCGCAGUAGAAGCGAUGCCACCGGUUUGUCUCCGACUAGAACUUGUUUAUGGUUUAUAGUCGAUACUAUUUGAUCGGUCAGCAAUCAAUCAACAGCAGCAGCGGAGGUGAAAACACCGGGGUGCUUUCUGCUCUUCUGUCAUAUAGGCACUUCCCAGUUUGUCUGUGUUUUGAGUUCAGACGGACCUCCCCUCCACCCACACCAAGAUGCACAUGAAUAGCUUAUUAAACCAGUGCA